GAUAAACGCUGGCGGCGCACAUAAGACAUGCAAGUCGAACGAACUUAAUUGAGAGCUUGCUCUCAAAGCGGUUAGUGGCGGACUGGUGAGUAACACGUAAGCAACCUGCCUAUUAGAGGGGAAUAACAGCGAGAAAUCGUUGCUAAUACCGCAUAUGCUGUGAGUAUCGCAUGAUACAAGCAGGAAAGGAGCAAUCCGCUAAUAGAUGGGCUUGCGUCUGAUUAGUUAGUUGGUGGGGUAACGGCCUACCAAGACGAUGAUCAGUAGCCGGACUGAGAGGUUGAACGGCCACAUUGGGACUGAGAUACGGCCCAGACUCCUACGGGAGGCAGCAGUCGGGAAUAUUGCGCAAUGGAGGAAACUCUGACGCAGUGACGCCGCGUGCAGGAAGAAGGUUUUCGGAUUGUAAACUGCUUUUAACAGGAAAGAAAAAAAUGACGGUACCUGUUGAAUAAG
rnacentral:rRNA from 1 species